rnacentral:lncRNA from 1 species
AACGCAAAUCCCAGCUGCCGGGGGGAGCCCUGCUCCCUCGCAGCCCUGGGCUCCCCAAUGCCCUAAAUUUCAAAUGCGCUUCUCCGGACCAUUUAUUUCGAUUAGAACCAGGAGGGGGCCAGCAUCAGGAUGGGUGACCACGUUAAACGUGUGGCCACCCUCUCUGGGCCGCCCACCCCGCAGAGGUUGGAGGGGAGCUCAGCUCUGUGACCGAGCGCCCAACCCUGACCUGUUUGCCAUGUCGCAGUCCCACUGCUGGGUGAUUCUGCACGGCUGCCAGCCUGGCUUGUAAAAAGUCCCUGCAUUUCCAAGGAAACGCAAGCAUUUGCCCCACAGGCCACCCUGGCACCCCAGGGGCAAGCGGAAUUUCUGUAACUUCUAGGGCGUGUCGGGGGCAGAGCGGGGAGUGGGUGGCCAGACAGGACAGGCUGGGAGGUCAGUGUCCUCUUUUCUGGAGCGUGGAGAGAGGGGUGCCGGCUCAGGGGGUCCCCAGGUGUCCUUGCUGGCUGGACGCCUCCAUCCCUGUGGGCUCAGAAAGACACGGCAGCCAUUCCUCCCAGUGCAGGCUUGCAGGACAUGGGUCCAGGUCAGUGUCCUCUUUUCUGGAGCGUGGAGAGAGGGGUGCCGGCUCAGGGGGUCCCCAGGUGUCCUUGCUGGCUGGACGCCUCCAUCCCUGUGGGCUCAGAAAGACACGGCAGCCAUGCCUCCCAGUGCAGGCUUGCAGGACAUGGGUCCAGGUCACGAAUGUCUCGAGGCUGUGGAAGGACUGGCUGUGACCAAGGCCUGAUGUUCCAGGGACAUCCCCAGCAGCCCAGAGGCAGCUCCACUAGUCCAGCCGUCCGGCCCCGAGCCAAGGGUGGUUCCGGAGGAGCCCGGGGAGUUCGUGUCUGGAUGACAGGUGGCUCUACCUGGAGGAAGCCAGGGUCAGCCCCAUGUUAUCCCUCAGGCUAGGGGUGGGGAGAGGAACGGGGAGCCUCUCGGCUUCCCAGGACGGAGAUGCAUCAAGCUGCCGCCCCUUUGAGCAGGGAAAGCUCAGCUCACGGGGCCCCAGAAGCCAGUGGGGGCCUUAGGCUUCCUGCCUCAGGAGCAUGGGUGGGUGACCAGACUCCCGGGCAGGAACGGCCUCUGCAUGUCACAUCAGGCGGGCGCCUCGUGCUGGGCAGCCGGCAGUGGGAAGGCCACUUGUACGCAGCCCCUGCCGGCCUGGCCCUGGGUGGGAGGGCUCCCCAGUGUCCUCAGGCACGGCUGCAUCCACAUGACCCAGUGCGCGUGACCAGCGCACUGUGCUGGAGUGCGGCCACCAGCCCCUGUAGGAAUGCCAGGCUCGGUCCUCAGGACAGGUCUGGCGCCUUC